rnacentral:rRNA from 1 species
GACAGCAGUAGCCACGGUAAUACGGAGGGAGUUAGCGUUGUUCGGAAUUACUGGGCGUAAAGCGCACGUAGGCGGUUAUUCAAGUCAGAGGUGAAAGCCUGGGGCUCAACCCCGGAACUGCCUUUGAAACUAGAUGACUAGAAUCUUGGAGAGGUCAGUGGAAUUCCGAGUGUAGAGGUGAAAUUCGUAGAUAUUCGGAAGAACACCAGUGGCGAAGGCGACUGACUGGACAAGUAUUGACGCUGAGGUGCGAAAGCGUGGGGAGCGAACAGGAUUAGAUACCCGCGUAGUCCCUGUCUCUUAUAC